GGGUUGUGAGGUUAAGCGACUAAGCGUACACGGUGGAUGCCCUGGCAGUCAGAGGCGAUGAAGGACGUGCUAAUCUGCGAAAAGCGUCGGUAAGGUGAUAUGAACCGUUACAGCCGGCGAUGUCCGAAUGGGGAAACCCAGUGUGAUUCGUCACACUAUCGUUAACUGAAUACAUAGGUUAACGAGGCGAACCGGGGGAACUGAAACAUCUAAGUACCCCGAGGAAAAGAAAUCAACCGAGAUUCCCCCAGUAGCGGCGAGCGAACGGGGAGCAGCCCAGAGUCUGAAUCAGCUUGUGUGUUAGUGGAACGGUCUGGAAAGUCCGACGGUACAGGGUGAUAGUCCCGUACACCAAAAUGCACAGGCUGUGAACUCGAAGAGUAGGGCGGGACACGUGGUAUCCUGUCUGAAUAUGGGGGGACCAUCCUCCAAGGCUAAAUACUCCUGACUGACCGAUAGUGAACCAGUACCGUGAGGGAAAGGCGAAAAGAACCCCGGCGAGGGGAGUGAAAAAGAACCUGAAACCGUGUACGUACAAGCAGUGGGAGCACCUUCGGGUGUGACUGCGUACCUUUUGUAUAAUGGGUCAGCGACUUAUAUUCUGUAGCAAGGUUAACCGUAUAGGGGAGCCGCAGGGAAACCGAGUCUUAACUGGGCGUUAAGUUGCAGGGUAUAGACCCGAAACCCGGUGAUCUAGCCAUGGGCAGGUUGAAGGUUGGGUAACACUAACUGGAGGACCGAACCGACUAAUGUUGAAAAAUUAGCGGAUGACUUGUGGCUGGGGGUGAAAGGCCAAUCAAACCGGGAGAUAGCUGGUUCUCCCCGAAAGCUAUUUAGGUAGCGCCUCGUGAACUCAUCUUCGGGGGUAGAGCACUGUUUCGGCUAGGGGGUCAUCCCGACUUACCAACCCGAUGCAAACUACGAAUACCGAAGAAUGUUAUCACGGGAGACACACGGCGGGUGCUAACGUCCGUCGUGAAGAGGGAAACAACCCAGACCGCCAGCUAAGGUCCCAAAGUCAUGGUUAAGUGGGAAACGAUGUGGGAAGGCACAGACAGCCAGGAUGUUGGCUUAGAAGCAGCCAUCAUUUAAAGAAAGCGUAAUAGCUCACUGGUCGAGUCGGCCUGCGCGGAAGAUGUAACGGGGCUAAACCAUGCACCGAAGCUGCGGCAGCGACACUAUGUGUUGUUGGGUAGGGGAGCGUUCUGUAAGCCUGCGAAGGUGUGCUGUGAGGCAUGCUGGAGGUAUCAGAAGUGCGAAUGCUGACAUAAGUAACGAUAAAGCGGGUGAAAAGCCCGCUCGCCGGAAGACCAAGGGUUCCUGUCCAACGUUAAUCGGGGCAGGGUGAGUCGACCCCUAAGGCGAGGCCGAAAGGCGUAGUCGAUGGGAAACAGGUUAAUAUUCCUGUACUUGGUGUUACUGCGAAGGGGGGACGGAGAAGGCUAUGUUAGCCGGGCGACGGUUGUCCCGGUUUAAGCAUGUAGGCUGGUUAUCCAGGCAAAUCCGGAUAAUCAAGGCUGAGGUGUGAUGACGAGGCACUACGGUGCUGAAGUAACAAAUGCCCUGCUUCCAGGAAAAGCCUCUAAGCAUCAGGUAACAUUAAAUCGUACCCCAAACCGACACAGGUGGUCAGGUAGAGAAUACCAAGGCGCUUGAGAGAACUCGGGUGAAGGAACUAGGCAAAAUGGUGCCGUAACUUCGGGAGAAGGCACGCUGGUGUGUAGGUGAAGUCCCUGCGGAUGGAGCUGAGACCAGUCGAAGAUACCAGCUGGCUGCAACUGUUUAUUAAAAACACAGCACUGUGCAAACACGAAAGUGGACGUAUACGGUGUGACGCCUGCCCGGUGCCGGAAGGUUAAUUGAUGGGGUUAUCCGUAAGGAGAAGCUCUUGAUCGAAGCCCCGGUAAACGGCGGCCGUAACUAUAACGGUCCUAAGGUAGCGAAAUUCCUUGUCGGGUAAGUUCCGACCUGCACGAAUGGCGUAAUGAUGGCCAGGCUGUCUCCACCCGAGACUCAGUGAAAUUGAACUCGCUGUGAAGAUGCAGUGUACCCGCGGCAAGACGGAAAGACCCCGUGAACCUUUACUAUAGCUUGACACUGAACAUUGAGCCUUGAUGUGUAGGAUAGGUGGGAGGCUUUGAAGCGUGGACGCCAGUCUGCGUGGAGCCAACCUUGAAAUACCACCCUUUAAUGUUUGAUGUUCUAACGUUGGCCCCUGACCGGGGUUGCGGACAGUGUCUGGUGGGUAGUUUGACUGGGGCGGUCUCCUCCCAAAGCGUAACGGAGGAGCACGAAGGUUAGCUAAUCCUGGUCGGACAUCAGGAGGUUAGUGCAAUGGCAUAAGCUAGCUUGACUGCGAGCGUGACGGCGCGAGCAGGUGCGAAAGCAGGUCAUAGUGAUCCGGUGGUUCUGAAUGGAAGGGCCAUCGCUCAACGGAUAAAAGGUACUCCGGGGAUAACAGGCUGAUACCGCCCAAGAGUUCAUAUCGACGGCGGUGUUUGGCACCUCGAUGUCGGCUCAUCACAUCCUGGGGCUGAAGUAGGUCCCAAGGGUAUGGCUGUUCGCCAUUUAAAGUGGUACGCGAGCUGGGUUUAGAACGUCGUGAGACAGUUCGGUCCCUAUCUGCCGUGGGCGCUGGAGAAUUGAGGGGGGCUGCUCCUAGUACGAGAGGACCGGAGUGGACGCAUCACUGGUGUUCGGGUUGUCAUGCCAAUGGCACUGCCCGGUAGCUAAAUGCGGAAGAGAUAAGUGCUGAAAGCAUCUAAGCACGAAACUUGCCCCGAGAUGAGUUCUCCCUGAGACU
rnacentral:rRNA from 1 species